UACGUAGGGUGCAAGCGUUAAUCGGAAUUACUGGGCGUAAAGCGUGCGCAGGCGGUGAUGUAAGUCAGGUGUGAAAUCCCCGGGCUUAACCUGGGAACUGCAUUUGUGACUGCAUCGCUGGAGUACGGCAGAGGGGGAUGGAAUUCCGCGUGUAGCAGUGAAAUGCGUAGAUAUGCGGAGGAACACCGAUGGCGAAGGCAGUCCCCUGGGCCUGUACUGACGCUCAUGCACGAAAGCGUGGGGAGCAAACAGG
rnacentral:rRNA from 1 species